AUUGAACGCUGGCGGCAGGCUUAACACAUGCAAGUCGAACGAGCGGCGGACGGGUGAGUAAUGUAUGGGGAUCUGCCUGAUGGAGGGGGAUAACUACUGGAAACGGUAGCUAAUACCGCAUACCAUCAGAUGAACCCAUAUGGGAUUAGCUUGUAGGUGGGGUAAAGGCUCACCAAGGCGACGAUCCCUAGCUGGUCUGAGAGGAUGACCAGCCACACGGGGACUGAGACACGGCCCAGACUCCUACGGGAGGCAGCAGUGGGGAAUAUUGCACAAUGGGGGCAAGCCUGAUGCAGCCAUGCCGCGUGUAUGAAGAAGGCCUUCGGGUUGUAAAGUACUUUCAGUAGGGAGGCGUUACCGACAGAAGAAGCACCGGCUAACUCCGUGCCAGCAGCCGCGGUAAUAC
rnacentral:rRNA from 1 species